rnacentral:rRNA from 1 species
AUUGAACGCUGGCGGCAGGCCUAACACAUGCAAGUCGAGCGGAGCGGCGGACGGGUGAGUAAUGCCUAGGAAUCUGCCUGGUAGUGGGGGAAAACGUCCGGUAACGGGCGCUAAUACCGCAUACUAUCGGAUGAGCCUAGGUCGGAUUGGCUAGUUGGUGGGGUAAAGUCCUACCACGGCGACUAUCCGUAACUGGUCUGAGAGGAUGUUAAGUCACACUGGAACUGAGACACGGUCCAGACUCCUACGGGAGGCAGCAGUGGGGAAUAUUGGACAAUGGGCGAAAGCCUGAGCCAGCCAUGCCGCGUGUGUGAAGAAGGUCUUCGGAUUGUAAAGCACUUUAAGUUGGGAGGCGUUACCAACAGAAUAAGCACCGGCUAACUUCGUGCCAGCAGCCGCGGUAAUUC